rnacentral:rRNA from 1 species
GAUGAACGCUGGCGGCAUGCUUAACACAUGCAAGUCGAACGGAACACUUUGUGUUUUGAGUUAAUAGUUCGAUAGUAGAUAGUAAAUAGUGAACACUAUGAACUAGUAAACUAUUUAACUAGAAACUCUUAAACGCAGAGCGUUUAGUGGCGAACGGGUGAGUAAUACAUUGGUAUCUACCUCGGAGAAGGACAUAGCCUGCCGAAAGGUGGGGUAAUUUCCUAUAGUCCCCGCACAUAUUUGUUCUUAAAUCUGUUAAAAUGAUUAUAUGUUUUAUGUUUAUUUGAUAAAAAGCAGCAAGACAAAUGAGUUUUAUAUUGGUUAUACAGCAGAUUUAAAAAAUAGAAUUAGGUCUCAUAAUCAGGGAGAAAACAAAUCAACUAAAUCUAAAAUACCUUGGGAAUUGGUUUACUAUGAAGCCUACAAAAACCAAACAUCAGCAAGGGUUAGAGAAUCAAAGUUGAAACAUUAUGGGCAAUCAUUAACUAGACUUAAGAGAAGAAUUGGUUUUUGAGAACAAAUAUGUGCGGGGUAAAGCAGCAAUGCGCUCCGAGAGGAACCUCUGUCCUAUCAGCUUGUUGGUAAGGUAAUGGCUUACCAAGGCGACGACGGGUAGCUGGUGUGAGAGCACGACCAGCCACACUGGGACUGAGACACGGCCCAGACUCCUACGGGAGGCAGCAGUGAGGAAUUUUCCACAAUGGGCGCAAGCCUGAUGGAGCAAUGCCGCGUGAAGGAUGAAGAUUUUCGGAUUGUAAACUUCUUUUAAGUAGGAAGAUUAUGACGGUACUACUUGAAUAAGCAUCGGCUAACUACGUGCCAGCAGCCGCGGUAAUACGUAGGAUGCAAGCGUUAUCCGGAAUUACUGGGCGUAAAGCGUGUGUAGGUGGUUUAUUAAGUUAAAUGUUAAAUUUUCAGGCUUAACUUGGAAACCGCAUUUAAUACUGGUAGACUUUGAGGACAAGAGAGGCAGGCGGAAUUAGCGGAGUAGCGGUGAAAUGCGUAGAUAUCGCUAAGAACACCAAUGGCGAAGGCAGCCUGCUGGUUUGCACCUGACACUGAGAUACGAAAGCGUGGGGAGCGAACGGGAUUAGAUACCCCGGUAGUCCACGCCGUAAACGAUGGUCACUAGCUGUUAGGGGCUCGACCCCUUUAGUAGCGAAGCUAACGCGUUAAGUGACCCGCCUGGGGAGUACGAUCGCAAGAUUAAAACUCAAAGGAAUUGACGGGGACCCGCACAAGCGGUGGAACGUGAGGUUUAAUUCGUCUCUAAGCGAAAAACCUUACCGAGGCUUGACAUCUCCGGAAGACCUUAGAAAUAAGGUUGUGCCCGAAAGGGAGCCGGAUGACAGGUGCUGCAUGGCUGUCGUCAGCUCGUGUUGUGAAAUGUUCGGUUAAGUCCGUUAACGAGCGCAACCCUUGCUGUGUGUUGUAUUUUUCACACAGGACUAUCCUGGUCAACAGGGAGGAAGGUGGGGAUGACGUCAAGUCAGCAUGGCUCUUACGCCUCGGGCUACACUCGCGUUACAAUGGCCGGUACAAUGGGCUGCCAACUCGUAAGGGGGAGCUAAUCCCAUCAAAACCGGUCCCAGUUCGGAUUGAGGGCUGCAAUUCGCCCUCAUGAAGUCGGAAUCGCUAGUAACCGCGAAUCAGCACGUCGCGGUGAAUGCGUUCUCGGGUCUUGUACACACUGCCCGUCACACCACGAAAGUUAGUAACGCCCGAAGUGCCCUGUAUGGGGUCCUAAGGUGGGGCUAGCGAUUGGGGUG